UACGUAGGGUGCGAGCGUUGUCCGGAAUUAUUGGGCGGAAAGAGCUCGUAGGCGGUCUGUCGCGUCGGUCGUGAAAACUUGGGGCUUAACCCUGAGCUUGCGGUCGAUACGGGCAUGACUGGAGUUCGGCAGGGGAGACUGGAAUUCCUGGUGUAGCGGUGAAAUGCGCAGAUAUCAGGAGGAACACCGGUGGCGAAGGCGGGUCUCUGGGCCGAUACUGACGCUGAGGAGCGAAAGCGUGGGGAGCGAACAGG
rnacentral:rRNA from 1 species